rnacentral:rRNA from 1 species
UGUAAGCGUAUACCAAAGUUGUUGCAGUUAAAACGCUCGUAGUCGGAAUUUGGCAGUUCCGGAUGUGUGCACGUCGUGUGCGCACUUCGCGGGGAUUGCUUUUGUGGUCUUGCGUAGGAUGAGGCACUUUUAUUAGUGAACGUCCUCACGCAACCACUUUUUACUGUGAGAAAAUCAGAGUGCUCAAAGCAGGCAUUUGCCGUGAAUGUAUUAGCAUGGAAUAAUAGAAUAGGACUUGGUUCUAUUUUGUUGGUUUGUUGGGACUGAGUAAUGAUUAAGAGGGACAGUUGGGGGCAUUUGUAUUUCGGUGCUAGAGGUGAAAUUCUUAGAUUACCGAAAGACAUACUGCUGCGAAAGCGUCUGCCAAGGAUGUUUUCAUUGA